rnacentral:rRNA from 1 species
AGCCUAAAUAUUCCCUGGUGACCGAUAGCGGAUAGUACCGUGAGGGAAUGGUGAAAAGUACCGCGGGAGCGGAGUGAAAUAGUACCUGAAACCGUGUGCCUACAAGCCGUGGGAGCGUCGGGAUCUUCGGAUCCUCGUGACUGCGUGCCUUUUGAAGAAUGAGCCUGCGAGUUAGCGGUGUGUAGCGAGGUUAACCCGUGUGGGGAAGCCGUAGCGAAAGCGAGUCCGAAUAGGGCGAUUGAGUUGCACGCUCUA